UUGCUCCCUGAUGUUAGCGGCGGACGGGUGAGUAACACGUGGGUAACCUGCCUGUAAGACUGGGAUAACUCCGGGAAACCGGGGCUAAUACCGGAUGGUUGUUUGAACCGCAUGGUUCAGACAUAAAAGGUGGCUUCGGCUACCACUUACAGAUGGACCCGCGGCGCAUUAGCUAGUUGGUGAGGUAACGGCUCACCAAGGCGACGAUGCGUAGCCGACCUGAGAGGGUGAUCGGCCACACUGGGACUGAGACACGGCCCAGACUCCUACGGGAGGAAGCAGUAGGGAAUCUUCCGCAAUGGACGAAAGUCUGACGGAGCAACGCCGCGUGAGUGAUGAAGGUUUUCGGAUCGUAAAGCUCUGUUGUUAGGGAAGAACAAGUGCCGUUCAAAUAGGGCGGCACCUUGACGGUACCUAACCAGAAAGCCACGGCUAACUACGUGCCAGCAGCCGCGGUAAUACGUAGGUGGCAAGCGUUGUCCGGAAUUAUUCGGCGUAAAGGGCUCGCAGGCGGUUUCUUAAGUCUGAUGUGAAAGCCCCCGGCUCAACCGGGGAGGGUCAUUGGAAACUGGGGAACUUGAGUGCAGAAGAGGAGGGUGGAAUUCCACGUGUAGCGGUGAAAUGCGUAGAGAUGUGGAGGAACACCAGUGGCGAAGGCGACUCUCUGGUCUGUAACUGACGCUGAGGAGCGAAAGCGUGGGGAGCGAACAGGAUUAGAUACCCUGGUAGUCCACGCCGUAAACGAUGAGUGCUAAGUGUUAGGGGGUUUCCGCCCGUUAGUGCUGCAGCUAACGCAUUAAGCACUCCGCCUGGGGAGUACGGUCGCAAGACUGAAACUCAAAGGAAUUGACGGGGGCCCGCACAAGCGGUGGAGCAUGUGGUUUAAUUCGAAGCAACGCGAAGAACCCUUACCAGGUCUUGACAUCCUCUGACAAUCCUAGAGAUAGGACGUCCCCUUUCGGGGGCAGAGUGACAGUGAUGCAUGGUUGUCGUCAGCUCGUGUCGUGAGAUGUUGGGUUAAGUCCCGCAACGAGCGCAACCCUUGAUCUAGUGCAG
rnacentral:rRNA from 1 species